ensembl:lncRNA
CACAGCUGCCCUCUUGCUCGCACCUCCAUCCAUGGGGCAGCACUGCUCCUGGCCGUGAUGCUCCCCAAGGCCCUGGGUGUGCAGAUGGGGUCGGUUCUUCCCGGGGAACCCUCCCGGGGCUUCCCUUGAAGAUGGGGUGCUGGGAGGGUGUGGGUGAGGGGAUGUGGUUUGAGGUCGGUUUGGGAGCAGGGUGGCUGCAGGUGGUGGAGGAACGGGGUCUCUGUGCUUUGCAGACGUGUUCCACAACCACAAACCCAGCUCGGUAGGGCCGGGUGCUGCUCUGUCAUCGACCCCACGUGGAUGUGGGUGACAGCAGGGCUGAGCCAGCCUGGAGCCAAGGGGACAGACGUAGGGUUGUCACUGCCUAUGGCCCCACGUUGGCCUGUGCUGGCAGGGAGCUGCACAGGCAGCAUCCAACCUGAGCAAUUCUAUGAUUCUACGAGCUGUGUGUGUUCCUCUAUGCCUUGAGUGUACCUUUCUCCUCCUCUUCCUCUCCCCCUGAUAUUCCUCCUCCCUGUGCCAAGGGCUCUGCCAGGUCCCAGCAGCUGGCCUUAGGGACAGGGAUGGCUUUGUCCCCACAGCAGGCUCAGGACCUCACCACUGUGCCCAGCACUCACGGUCCUCCCCUCUGGGCCCAGCACCAGUGUAUGGGCUGAUGGGAUCGCCGUUCCCAUUGUGGAUGCUCCCAGCUCUCCCUGCAACAUCUCCACUCUAUCGCUGCCGCCCAUCCUCAUAUCCCCUCAUCCCGCAUCGCUUUAUCCCCAUAUCCUCACCAUCUCUCUCUUCUUCCUCCCAGCCGUGGCCAAGGGACUCCUCCUGCUCUGGGCCGUGCCUGCACACAGCACUCAGCCCCCAUCCCCGCAGCAGACCCAGGCCUUGGUGCGGCACAUGGCCGAGGAUGCACAGGAACUCUUCAAACUCUACGAGCAGGAGCAGCACCUGCCCCACAACUUGUGCCGGGCCAACAGCUUGCUGGAGUGGCUGCGGGGGACUUUGGGGCCAUGGGAGAAGGAUCUGCGGGCACUGCAUGGCACCAUGACCCGCAUGGAGCGGGAGCUGCAGGACAUUGCCCAGCACCAGAGCAACCUCCAUCCACCCGAUGCCGCCAUCCUACACCGCCUCCGCAGCGCCCACAUGAAGGUGCGCGGGCUGCUGACCCACCUGCAGGACACCAUGGAGGCCCGCGGCAUCGUCCCCUCCACCAUCCCUCCAUCCCGGGGGCCGGCACCCAGCAAGGUGUUCCAGCAGAAGCUGCAGGGUUGCCGCGUGCUCUGGAACUACUCCCGCUUCGUGGCCAAGCUCAGCGCCUGCAUGGAGCGCAUGGAGUGCACGUGGGCACGGCGCAAGGAGAGGGGCCGGCGGAGAGGCCGGAGACGGGGAUGGAGGGCAACCAGACCCUAAAGGAGACCUCCGUGCCAACACCAAGCCUGCAGGGCUGCGCUCGGAUGUAGAGCUGUGCCCGGUGCUGGCGCCGGGGUCACUGCGGGUUGGUGACAGCCCGCCCUGCCGGAUUUUCCAGUGAUUCAAUGGGUCCGGUGACACGGCCUGACUAAGGGGCCCAGCACCCACACAUGGUGCAGCACCGGCUGUGAGUGCAGCCUGUCUGCCCCCCUGCAACCCCCCCUGCCAUCUCAGGGGGUUUGGUGACCCUGGAGAUCAGAGCCCCUGAGAGCUUGGUGUCCUUCCCGUCAUCUUGGUGUCCUUCCCGUCAUCUUGGUGUCCUUUCCAUCUUGGUGUCCUUCCCAUCUUGGAGUCCCCACUCAUGUGGUGUCCCUUCGAGCUUGGGGUCCCUAUUAGUUUUGGGACCCUUCAAGCUUGGUGUCCUUGUGAGCUUUGUGUUCCCACUCCCUUGGUGUCCCUAUUAGCUUUGUGUCUCUGCAAGUCUUGGUGUCCCUUCAAGCUUGAUGUCCCCACUCAGUUGGUGACCCCACCCGCUUGACAUCCCUAUGAGCUUGGGGUCCCCGUUAGUUUUGUGUCCCUCCUACCUUGGUGUCCCUUCAAGUUUGGUGUCCCCACUCAAUUGGUGACCCCACUCACUUGACGUCCCCACUCAAUGUCCCCGCACACACAGUGUUCCCUCUCAGCACCCUCAUGAGCACACUGAGCUCACCUCUGUGUUUUCCUCCUCACCCCUCCUCACCCUCUGUCCCCAUCAUCCCCGUGCCCACCCCGUUCCCUCAUCACCUCACACUCCUAGGACGCCCCCAGGUGUUGGGCACAGCCCUGUGCUCUGGCAGUGGGCACCGACCCCCCCAUAACUUAUACGUGACAGUGGUUCCUGUAUUUAUUGAAGCCAUCAAAUUAAUUUAACGCUUCCCCAGGCUGGGGACGAAUAUUUAAGUUUACACUUUUAAUAUAUAAAUGGAUAUCUAUUUUUGUUAUUUUUUUUAUUGUAUUGUGUUAAAGUAUAAAUGUGAUGAUAUUUUAUUUAUGAAUGCAAAUAUUAUUUUGUACUGGAAGAGGGGACCAACCCUUUAUUUUUCUAUGGCAGCAGAUGGAAAUAAAGUCUUGACCUCGGCCUGUGGGCCGAUGCCUCUGUCCAGGUGUGUCCGAGUGUCUGUCCGUGGGGCUCAGGCAAAACCCCAACUCAUUCUGUGAUUCCCUGGGGGCUUUUUGAGGCCCGAUGCUGUCAGGAAUCUGCCCACACAUGGGUGUGGGACGGAGGACACAGUGAAAACUAAACGAAUUUUGGAACUGAUUAGCAAUAACCUGAAAAGAAAGUGAGAUCAGGAGGAGAAGAAUGGAAGGAAACGGAGUGGGCACAGCAUGGGACAGGAUGGGGGGACAAGGCACACCAUGUGGGACGUGGCACAGCGCAGCAUGGCAGGUGUUAUGGAGUGGGAUGGGGUGUGCAAUGUGCAGCUUGGGAUGUGGCACAGCAGCGUGGCCCUUGGGAUGGCAUGGGAUGGCAGCAUCAGGUGGCACACGGCACAGCAUGGGGUGUGGUGUUGCACAGAGUGGCAUAGGUUGGGAGGAGGACAUGGUGGGCCACGGUAGCACACUGUGAGAUGUGGCACAUGGCACAGUGCAGGAUGCGGCAGAUGGAUGGGGUAACACGUGGCAUUGGCACAGAGUAGGAAGGGGCACAUCAUGGUGUGGCAUGAGGCACCCAGCGGGCCGUGACAAGGCAUGAGGAUGUGACAUGGCAGCAGGAACACGAUAGGACGUGACAUCAGGCACAUGUUGAAUAUGGCACAUGGCAGUGGGAUGUGGCGCAUCACACGUGGCACGCGGUGGAUGUGGCACAUGGCACAUGGAAAGGGACUGUGGCACAUGGCACACGAUGGAUGUGGCACAUGGCACAUGGCACACGAUGGAUGUGGCACAUGGAGCGUGGGAAGUGGCACAUGGCACACGAUAGAUGUGACACAUGGCACAUGGCACACAAUGGAUGUGGCACAUGGCACAUGGCACACGAUGGAUGUGACACACAGCACAGAUCUGUUUGUGGCAACACUGCCUGGCCCUGACACUGCACCCGGCCCUUCACUGAGCACCACUUGUCACACAGCACCACACCGAGCGUCACCGUGCCACACAGCCCCAUAGCAGCCUGGGGACACGCUGGGGGCCUGCUGCCACCAAGCACUGUCCCUGCUGAGUCAAAUAUCCUAAGACCUGGUCAUGUGGCACCAGGGAGUCACUCGUUCCUCGCCGUGUGCUCGGCUGUGCCGGCGGCACUGACUCAGUUGCAGGCAGCAUCGCCACUGGGACGGCCACUGCCACCAUUUGGGGACCCUUCGGGAACGAUGUCACCAUGAAGCAGCCUGAGCUGGCCCAGCGUGUCACCUCCUGCCAGCUGCCAUACCCUGCCGAGCCGCCCCAGGAGGAGGCAGCUUGGAGGGGCUCUGAGGGCACAGGUGGGUGAUAGCUCCUCCCUGAGACCAGGGACACUUGGGGGUCCCAAGAAGGGAAGGGGAAGAGGGAGCCCUUCUGUGCUCAGGAGAGCAGCAUCUGGCCCCAGGAUUCUAGAAAUUAGGGACAAAACUUGGGAAUGAGCUCCAAGCAGAAAUUAAGGAUCUGCAAAUGCUCGUACACCUGGGGCUGAAAAUGGGGUGACGCAUGGGAUGAUGGCAUGCCACCAGCCCUAGUGUCGCCAGCAUCCCCAUCCCCUCAGUGCCAUGCAGAUCUGGGCACUCUCGCUGCACAGGGAUCGGGGAGGACACCCUGCAGUGGGGAUGUGCCUUGCUUCCUGCCUCCUGAGUUGUCCCCAGGGCCAAGGGAGCCAUCAGCCUGCUGGGUGCCUGGCUUUGGGUGAUGCCAGCAGGAUGGCACUUGUGAGACAGCACCCAUAGGGAGAUACUGGUGGGAUGCAGGGGUUUGGGUGUGCAAAAAUCACCCCGUGAGUCAAGGGGGAAUUUGUCCCCUGCCAUUAUUCAGCCCGGGCUUCCCCAGCACAGGGCAGCCACCUUACUCACAGCAGCACCCUGCACUGGCUGGACAUGGGGGGCUGCUGGUGGCUGUGCGUGUCCUCUGCUGGGGACAGUGUGGGACAGGGGGUUAGGGACCCCAACGGCUUGGGUGGGAUGGGGAUGGGGACGGGAUGGGAUGGGGAUGGAGGGCUGUUACAGAUAAAGGUUGGGCAGAAAUGGGUGAGAAGGGACUGCUCAUGUCCCCGUGUCCCCCUCAUGUCCCCAUGUCGCCAUGGCGGUGACAGCCGCGGACGGCAGAGAGCAGUGUUCAGCAGGGCAGCGCAGCCCGCGGCUCUCCUGCCAAACCCAACCCCAAACAGCCCUAUUGGGCGCGGCCUGCACGUGGGCUCCCCCAGCCCCCGCUCCGCAUCCCGCAGCCCCGCAGCAUCCAGACUCAUGUAGGGGCCAAACCGCCCCAAAAAACCCAUCCGGAGCGUGGGAGCGGGGCCGGCCGGCCGCUGCCGGGAUGCCGAUAGCGUUGUGUCACCGCCCGCACCGAGCCCGUUCCUAUUCCCUCUUUUGGGCUUUUUCCGAGUGCAUCAUCCCCGGGGCAGGUGGGCGUCUGCAGGGACCCCCGAUCCCAUCAUCCUCUCCAUACAGGGGCCGUCGGGGCCGCCGCUGCUUAAUAAACUCUUGGGGAAGUGACAUCCCCUGGACGUCACUGGCAGUCUGUCCCGUGUAGGGUUGGUUUCCUACGGGAUAACCUACGGGGUAAGCUGUAUAAUAUAUCUUACGUGAGCAAAGAUUUCAGCCCGGCUCCCCGCUCCCAGACACGUCCCAAUUUUGCACGCGGGUCAUUUCCCUGAUUUCCUUAUUUUUUGGCCGUGGAACACAGGGCUGAUUCAGGAGCGGGGGCUGUGGGGGCUCGCAGGCAGCGGGGCUGGACCUGGCUGCAGGUGAAUCAGCUCCAGUGCCGCAUCCUGCAGAGAAACGCAGGGAAUUGGCAGGAAGUGGCCGCAGUGGGGCUUGCGACACCCCACCCCCGGGCUGCCCCUGAGCUGGUGAUGGAGAAACAACCGUUUCCCAGGUAAUUAAGUGACCCCGAUAAUUAGGUAUGAAUUUAUACGUGAGGUUGCGCACAUGAGCCCUCUUCCCUACCCCGCACAGCUCCCGUUAUCCCCAUCCCAUUGGCAUCUCUUUGUCCUCUCCAAGUAACCCCAAACUGGGGAUCAAUUGGGAUUCCACCGGUGUGGCAUUUGUCCCCGUUCCCCACCUUACCCCUGGGGAAACUGUGUCACCAACGGCAGUGACAGCAGCCCCAGCCCCACGGCAGUGCCAGGUGUCACCACACACAGCAGCACCCUGGGGACAGCUCAGCCAGGGGACAAAUGGACAAAUGGACGCAAUAGGUGGCACUGCAGAGUGUCCCACCCAACUGCACUGUCCCCACGUCCCCCCUCUUGGAGUCACUGUCCAUCAACUGUCCCCUGGUGGGAUGCAAGCAGGGCACAGACUCACUAAACCUGAUCAAAUGUUUCAGGAAGAACAAUAUACAGAGCAGAGAGGGAGAGAAAUGGCAGUGGCAACCUGCUGCCAGCCCAGAGAGGGGAGAGGGGUGGGGAUGGGGUGUCCCUGCUGGUGUCACAGCUACACGGGUGGCACAUAUGACACAUGGACAUGGGUGGCAUUCAGAUAUGUGGCACAGGGGCAUGGAUGGCACAUGGACACGAGUGGCACAGGGACACGGAUGAGCUGCUGUGCUGGUGGCUGCUCCCCCAAAAGAGAGUGGCAGGGAUGCUGGGGGGUACAACCACCCCUGCCACAGCCACAUCCAGGAGUCCCC